UGGGGAAUAUUGGACAAUGGGCGCAAGCCUGAUCCAGCCAUGCCGCGUGAGUGAUGAAGGCCCUAGGGUUGUAAAGCUCUUUCACCGGUGAAGAUAAUGACGGUAACCGGAGAAGAAGCCCCGGCUAACUUCGUGCCAGCAGCCGCGGUAAUACGAAGGGGGCUAGCGUUGUUCGGAUUUACUGGGCGUAAAGCGCACGUAGGCGGGCUAAUAAGUCAGGGGUGAAAUCCCGGGGCUCAACCCCGGAACUGCCUUUGAUACUGUUAGUCUUGAGUAUGGAAGAGGUGAGUGGAAUUCCGAGUGUAGAGGUGAAAUUCGUAGAUAUUCGGAGGAACACCAGUGGCGAAGGCGGCUCACUGGUCCAUUACUGACGCUGAGGUGCGAAAGCGUGGGGAGCAAACAGG
rnacentral:rRNA from 1 species